rnacentral:tRNA from 1 species
GCGCCGUUAGCUCAAUUGGUAGAGCAACUGACUCUUAAUCAGUGGGUUCGGGGUUCGAUUCCCCGGCGGCGUA